rnacentral:lncRNA from 1 species
UAUGAGCUUGGUUGCAGGCUGCAUGGCAUCGUUUGUUGGGUGCUCAGACGUUCAAGCCUCGCCAUUAUGAUGCUGGGAGAGAAAGGAAUGCGGAAGGCAUCGAUAGGCAGAUACAUCACGGCCACCUCUUCUUGCCUGCUCCACCUUCACACCCCCUCCCUGUCUCCCUCUUGUCCGCCUCAGAGAUGUCGAUAAGGCGAGAUCGAUCCGCACAUGGUGGUGUGUCCCAUCGGGAAAAGGAAGCCCGGAGAGGUCAUCUGCCUCCUGCCCAACUUAAUGGGCGACAACCAUGCAAGUGUUCCACCCAUCCCGUCUCCUUCAGUGAUAGACCAUGCCUCUGGUGGUCUUAGCGCUGCUCCUCGCCCUUCAAUGGCUGUCGAUCGUAUGCUACCGUUAGAAUACACUGGAAGAUAUCUGGACAUGGAUUAAGGGUGAGGGUGAUGGGAUGUGGAGUAAUGAAAUCUUUGUCUUGUCUACCCACCGAAGCCUUGGAACAGCGAAACCACUGUGGGAGAUUCUUCAUCUUAACCGUUUGCUCUUCAUACGUUGGUGUCGGGGGUGGCGUCGUCGGUUGGGCCACCCACGGAGAGAUGAGAGCACAGGAGGACUAAACCCUUUCAGUGCCUCUAAUCUACCAUCUUUUGAAUGAGGCUCUCCAACUGCCGGCCAUGAUCGAGCAGAGCUCCUCAAAAUACUCUUGUCGACGAUGGAAGGAGAGAGGCUGAGGCAUCGCGCACAGGAGGAGCUGCUGCACGCGUGCAGUGCUUGAAAUCCGCUCCCUAAUCAAAGCGCACUGCUCAUAACUCGGUUGGGUUGAUUGAUGUCACUUUGGACAAAGAUGGGAAAGAAAAAGGACGAUCGAAUAAGAUGCCGGACAUGCAAUUGUCGUCUCGAGUCGUUCGUGGUACAAACCCUCCCCACUUCAAAUC